rnacentral:lncRNA from 1 species
CGGGCUCCGCUUCCUUCCCGUGGCUUCUGGAGUCUUCUAGAUGGUAGAAAAUUGCGCGGUGGGUUGAUAUCUCUAUGUAAUCCCGACAUGUGGGCCUUUCUUCCUUAUUUCCUGAUAACCCCCUGCAGAAAUAGACAAACACCAAAACUCGUGGAAUUCUGUCAGAUAAAACCCUAAGUCUAGAUGUUGAUUUCAUUUGGAUCCUUUUCUUUGUUUAUUUGAUAAUUAAAUUUGAUACUUAAGGACCGUCAACAAACUCCCCCAAGCUUACCUCUUGCUCGUCCCUGAGCAAGGAUGAACUCAAGAGUUUCUGCAGUGGUUUCAUUUCUUAGAAGUACACACGAAUUUAAGCAAGAUCUCAUCUCUGAGUUAGAAUAAACUGUUAAGACUUAAAACUUACUUACUUUACCUACACCAUAGGACUUGUAACCGUCACUUCUGUCUUGAGUGGUUAAAAGAUAGAACAGUCUAGCCAAGUGUCAUGUCUCUUAUUCUUGAUCAGCUAUAGAAUUAGGGUUUGAUCUGACAGAAUUCCACGAGUUUUGUUGUUUAUCUAUUUCUGCAGGGGGUUAUCAGGAAAUAAGGAAGAAAGGCCCACAUAUCAGGAUUACAUAGAGAUAUCAACGCAUCGCGCAAUUUUACAUCAUCUAGA